UCCCUGCCGAUGAAUUUCAGGUAAGGCUGUAACGCCUCCAGUUUCCAUUUAUUUCCCCUUUAAUACAACUCCUCCCACUCUGUAGCAUUCAAUCGAUCUCAUCAUUUUCAUACAUAGCCGGCGGGAGAUCUUCUAUAAAUUUGUACGUUUCCAGCGUUGAACAGCGCCAUCUCUGCAAAAUCCAUUUCUCUAAGCUCAACGCUGGCCGCUGCAGGCAGAGAGUGCCACGAGGCUUCUCCGGUUCUGGAAAACUCUAAAUGUGAAGAAAGGUGGAAAGUUGAUGGGCGUUGCUCUUUCACUGCUCGAUAGAAAGGCUACAAUCAAUAUCCAUCGGCUCAAAACUUUCAGGAUGGCUGGCUGUAUGACCCAAAUGUGUUUGAUGCAAAGAUGAGAAACCAAAGCUUCCGCCUUUCAGACUCUCCUGUAUCAAUUCGUUUUACAGAUUAGACGAAAUUCCACGAGUUUCCUGAGAACAGCGUUUUAUCAGACAGAGCUCUACCGUCGAUUCCCUUUUGUUCGGAUGAUGCCUCUUCCGAAGUUUUUUCUAAAACGGCUUUGUUUUCAUUAUACGGAGGAGAUCCCACCACUCAUCACUGGUGCUCCGAUGUGCCUCCUCUGCUUCUUUUUCUUCCUCAAAUGCCGCCACGGCUGAAGCUUCCAACCCUUUCGGCUGCAACAGAAGGGAAGCUUCAUCUUCUAAUUUGUUGAAGAACUGAGAGGUCAAGGUGUUGAGCGUUAUGCUUACAAGAGGGAAAAUGCCACAGUGAAAAUCAGCUCCAAUAGAUAUACAGGUAUCUAGCGAACGGAGAAGUAUCAAACAAUGAAAGUGGUCGUGUUUCUAUGGUCGGGAGAGUUGUUCCCCUCAGAGCGUUUAGGAAACUUGCAUUCUUAACAAGAAACGUAUCAUGGUCUAACUGAUAUUCAUAAACGUUUACCGCCAAAGAUGACUUCUUUCUUCUGUAUAUGUACAUCUGUGGUUCUUAUUAUUGUGCUCGAUCUUUCUAGGUACGUGAAUAUGAUUGCUUUCAAAUUUUAAUUUGAACAUCCAGUUAAUUUUCUGCAUGAUCCCAGGUUUUUAAAGUUGCAGUGGAGCCAAAGCUUGUGCAUCCAACUUUAGUAUUAGACUGCCCAAUCGAAAUAUCUCCCUUGGCCAAGCCACAUCGCGGGAAAGUUGUUUCUAGAACUCUCUCUCCUGGCAAUGACUCGAUUUUUACCAUCUCUUAGAUCAUUCAUCUUAUAUACUGAAAAUAUAUGCAAGUGUAAAUGACGUUUUGUGGCAACAAACAAAUAGCAUUUUGCAAGUGCACAAAACCACCGGACAUUAUUAAACAUUUUGUGAACUAUAAACUCGACACUUACCCACAAUAAGAUCAUCUCAUUAUA